rnacentral:rRNA from 1 species
UACGUAGGGGGCUAGCGUUGUCCGGAAUCACUGGGCUUAAAGCGCGUGUAGGCGGGCCGGCACGUCGGACGUUGAAAUCCCCCGGCUCAACCGGGGAAGGGGCGCCGAUACGACCGGCCUGGAGGAACGUAGGGGGAGCUGGAACUUCCGGUGGAGCGGUGAAAUGCGUUGAGAUCGGAAGGAACGCCCGUGGCGAAAGCGAGCUCCUGGACGUUUUCUGACGCUGAGACGCGAAAGCCAGGGGAGCGAACGGG